CCCCUCUCAGGGUCGCACCCGGAGAGUUUCCAGUACUCUACCAGUCUCGACUAUGGGAGGGAAAGUCAAGCCGAGGCCUACCCAUUCCAUUCCUAACUUCGCCAGUGGCUAAUGAUUGGAAGACAAUCUGGUACAAGU